CAGUAGCCACGGUAAUACGAAGGGUGCAAGCGUUAUUCGGAAUUACUGGGCAUAAAGCGUGCGUAGGUGGUGGUUUAAGUCCGUUGUGAAAGCCCUGGGCUCAACCUGGGAAUUGCAGUGGAUACUGGGUCAUUAGAGUGUGGUAGAGGAUAGUGGAAUUUCCGGUGUAGCAGUGAAAUGCGUAGAGAUCGGAAGGAACAUCUGUGGCGAAGGCGACUAUCUGGGCCAACACUGACACUGAGGCACGAAAGCGUGGGGAGCAAACAGGAUUAGAUACCCCCGUAGUCCCUGUCUCUUAUAC
rnacentral:rRNA from 1 species